GUACACACCGCCCGUCGCUCCUACCGAUUGGGUGUGCUGGUGAAGUGUUCGGAUUGGCAGCUCUGGGCGGUUCUCCGCCCUCCGCCGCCGAGAAGUUCAUUAAACCCUCCCACCUAGAGGAAGGAGAAGUCGUAACAAGGUUUCCGUAGGUGAACCUGCAGAAGGAUCA
rnacentral:rRNA from 1 species